rnacentral:rRNA from 1 species
UCUGGCGCAUCCACGUAAAUAGAGAAAUCAACGAAAUCAGAGACAAAUACAUGAUGCGGAUCGUGAGGAUAAUCCAUACCGCUUUGUAAAACAUUCAAACCUUCAAGAAUCAAUAUAUCAGGCUGAGCGACGGUUUUAUCCCCUUCAGGAAUAACAUCGUAAAUCAAAUGAGAAUAGACUGGCGCCGUCACGUUCGGUACGCCCGACUUGAGGUCAGAAACGAAUUUCACCAGUCGGUGCAUAUCAUACGAUUCGGGGAACCCCUUUUUCUUCAUUAACCCGCGUUCUUUCAACACCUGGUUUGGGUGGAGGAAGCCGUCUGUGGUAAUCAAUUCAACACGGCGGUGUUCCGGCCAGCGACUCAGCAACGCUUGCAGAACGCGUGCUGUCGUGCUUUUACCCACUGCGACGCUGCCCGCGAUACUGAUGAUGUAAGGGAUUCGCUGGCCGUUAGUGCCCAGAAACUGUUCCAGGACAGCCUGACGACGCAGAUUUGAACUGAUAUAGAAAUUUAGCAAACGGGAGAGAGGUAAAUAUAUUUCUGCAACUUCUUCCAGCGAUAAAUCUUCAUUAAUGCCUUUUAACUGCGCGAUCUCAUCCUCGGUCAGGGUCAUCGGCACAGAAUCGCGAAGCGCAGCCCACUGGCUGCGAUCAAACUGUAGGUAAGGCGUCAUUAACGAUUGCUCUUUUAUACUCAUAAGCAUGUUUCUGGCUGCUAUUGCUACAUCAGUUCAGCGAUGAACGAGGGCCAUCCCUGACAUGCAACGGCACGUCACAUUUAAGUUAAUUUGGACAAUGGGCAGGAGGGUAACACCAGAUGGGGAGGAAUAAUAAGAAAAAAUCUCGCUGUGAAAGCUAUCCCUGAGAAGCAAUGUGACGAAUAUACCAGAUACAGAAGAUUGCUUUCUAUCGACGGAGCGUUGAAAUGCCGCGUCGUAUCCUGGUCAGACGGUCGGUAAAAUGCCGAAAAUUUAUGCUCUCUUGUUUGAAAUUAGAGCAUUUUUGUCUCUUAUAGCGCAAAAUGUGAGCGAUAGAACAUUUUAUGCAAUUUUUUAGUUGCAUGAGCACGCAGGUCUCCAUAGAAUGCGCGCUACUUGAUGCCGACUUAGCUCAGUAGGUAGAGCAACUGACUUGUAAUCAGUAGGUCACCAGUUCGAUUCCGGUAGUCGGCACCAUCAAGUCCGGUGGGGUUCCCGAGCGGCCAAAGGGAGCAGACUGUAAAUCUGCCGUCAUCGACUUCGAAGGUUCGAAUCCUUCCCCCACCACCAUUUUCGGCCGCGCGAUGGCGCAGCCCGAGACGAUAAGUUCGCUUACCGGCUCGAAUAAAGAGAGUUUCUCUCGAUAUUCAGUGCAGAAUGAAAAUCAGGUAGCCGAGUUCCAGGAUGCGGGCAUCGUAUAAUGGCUAUUACCUCAGCCUUCCAAGCUGAUGAUGCGGGUUCGAUUCCCGCUGCCCGCUCCAAGAUGUGCUGAUAUAGCUCAGUUGGUAGAGCGCACCCUUGGUAAGGGUGAGGUCGGCAGUUCGAAUCUGCCUAUCAGCACCACUUCUUUUCUCCUUCCUGUUUUUCUCUUCUGUUUAUUAGCAUUCAACAAGUCGGGCGUGUUGCCUGGUUGAUGUGGUGAUAUCACCGAUUUAUCCGUGUCUUAGAGGGACAAUCGAUGUCUAAAGAAAAGUUUGAACGUACAAAACCGCACGUUAACGUCGGUACUAUCGGCCACGUUGACCAUGGUAAAACAACGCUGACCGCUGCCAUUACUACCGUACUGGCUAAAACCUACGGCGGUGCCGCUCGCGCAUUCGACCAGAUCGAUAACGCGCCGGAAGAAAAAGCGCGUGGUAUCACCAUCAACACUUCUCACGUUGAAUACGAUACCCCGACCCGCCANAAGCGAAGCUCCUGAUCGAAGCCCCGGUAAACGGCGGCCGUAACUAUAACGGUCCUAAGGUAGCGAAAUUCCUUGUCGGGUAAGUUCCGACCUGCACGAAUGGCGUAAUGAUGGCCAGGCUGUCUCCACCCGAGACUCAGUGAAAUUGAACUCGCUGUGAAGAUGCAGUGUACCCGCGGCAAGACGGAAAGACCCCGUGAACCUUUACUAUAGCUUGACACUGAACAUUGAGCCUUGAUGUGUAGGAUAGGUGGGAGGCUUUGAAGUGUGGACGCCAGUCUGCAUGGAGCCGACCUUGAAAUACCACCCUUUAAUGUUUGAUGUUCUAACGUGGACCCGUAAUCCGGGUUGCGGACAGUGUCUGGUGGGUAGUUUGACUGGGGCGGUCUCCUCCUAAAGAGUAACGGAGGAGCACGAAGGUUGGCUAAUCCUGGUCGGACAUCAGGAGGUUAGUGCAAUGGCAUAAGCCAGCUUGACUGCGAGCGUGACGGCGCGAGCAGGUGCGAAAGCAGGUCAUAGUGAUCCGGUGGUUCUGAAUGGAAGGGCCAUCGCUCAACGGAUAAAAGGUACUCCGGGGAUAACAGGCUGAUACCGCCCAAGAGUUCAUAUCGACGGCGGUGUUUGGCACCUCGAUGUCGGCUCAUCACAUCCUGGGGCUGAAGUAGGUCCCAAGGGUAUGGCUGUUCGCCAUUUAAAGUGGUACGCGAGCUGGGUUUAGAACGUCGUGAGACAGUUCGGUCCCUAUCUGCCGUGGGCGCUGGAGAACUGAGGGGGGCUGCUCCUAGUACGAGAGGACCGGAGUGGACGCAUCACUGGUGUUCGGGUUGUCAUGCCAAUGGCACUGCCCGGUAGCUAAAUGCGGAAGAGAUAAGUGCUGAAAGCAUCUAAGCACGAAACUUGCCCCGAGAUGAGUUCUCCCUGAGACUUUAGGUCUCCUGAAGGAACGUUGAAGACGACGACGUUGAUAGGCCGGGUGUGUAAGCGCAGCGAUGCGUUGAGCUAACCGGUACUAAUGAACCGUGAGGCUUAACCUU